rnacentral:rRNA from 1 species
CGAACGCAACCUUCGGGUUGAGUGGCGGACGGGUGAGUAACGCGUGAGAAUCUGCCUUGGGGUCGGGGACAACCACUGGAAACGGUGGCUAAUACCGGAUAAGCCUUUGGGUAAAAGAUUUAUUGCCCCAAGAGGAGCUCGCGUCUGAUUAGCUAGUUGGUGAGGUAAAAGCUCACCAAGGCAGCGAUCAGUAGCUGGUCUGAGAGGACGAUCAGCCACACUGGGACUGAGACACGGUCCAGACUCCUACGGGAGGCAGCAGUGGGGAAUUUUCCGCAAUGGGCGAAAGCCUGACGGAGCAAGACCGCGUGAGGGAGGAAGGCUCUUGGGUUGUAAACCUCUUUUCUCAGGGAAGAAGCUCUGACGGUACCUGAGGAAUCAGCCUCGGCUAACUCCGUGCCAGCAGCCGCGGUAAUACGGAGGAGGCAAGCGUUAUCCGGAAUUAUUGGGCGUAAAGCGUCCGCAGGUGGCGAUUCAAGUCUGCUGUCAAAGCACGGGGCUUAACUCCGUUAAGGCAGUGGAAACUGAAUAGCUAGAGUGCCGUAGGGGUAGAGGGAAUUCCCGGUGUAGCGGUGAAAUGCGUAGAGAUCGGGAAGAACAUCGGUGGCGAAAGCGCUCUACUGGACGGCAACUGACACUCAGGGACGAAAGCUAGGGGAGCGAAUGGGAUUAGAUACCCCAGUAGUCCUAGCUGUAAACGAUGGAUACUAGGUGUAGCUUGUAUCGACCCGAGCUGUGCCGAAGCU